GGUUGUGGUGGCUGGUUGUUUUCCCUAUCUCUCAGCCUUCCCAGGCAGUGCACUACAUCCAGAGAACCAGCAACAACAUUUCGCUCCUCCUCCGCGACUAUUGCCCUGCAAAUGUCCUUCACUCUUGCUUUGAUGUUGUCGUCAGAUUUUUCUGCUAUUGUAUAAAUUCGAAGAUUCCACCUCCGACCAUACCGGUCCUUCUUGUUUACAUUUGACUCCAUUUCAAUUUUAACCGUGAGGAUACGGACGAUGUUGUCCUGUAGCUGGCUCAGUGAUGGUUCACUUCUCAGCUUCUUUGGAAGUUGCUCUUUGGUUGGGGUAUUCAGUGUGACAGGCUAGCUGCAGACACAGCCAUUGAGCUGAGGAGAAGGGGAGUGGCCUCUGUCAGUCUAUGACCUUGAGUAGUUCAGACAAGAGUUGGUGUCUCAACUCAUCAUCGUUGAGAAGGAUUCUCCACCAGGUAUUGAUCCUAAGAGAUGUAUUUGCCAAUGAAGACACCACAGAGCUGAGUGGGAAGUGCAUUGUGGAGCUGGCGAAAGGUACAUUAUAUUUACAUUAUACUACAGCAUGUACAUGGUCAUGCACCGUUAUACACUCAGUGGCUAGUUUAUUAGGUACACCACCCCAUUCACAAAAAUGGUUAGCUCCUACAGACAGUUAGUCACGUGGUCGUGGCUUGCUAUAUAAAGAAGGCAGACAAGCAUGAAGGCAUUCAGUUACUGUUCGAUUAAACAUUAGCAACAUUAGCAACUUUGAGCAUGGUAUGAUCAUCAGGUCAGGCGCGCUGGUCCUAGCAUCUCAGAAAAAGCCGGCCUCCUGGACUUUUCACGCACAACAGUGUCUAGGGUUUACUGAGAAUGGUGCCACAAACCAAAAACAUCCUCUGUCCUCUGCCAGGACCUAGGAUCAAGGGAGACACUCAAGUGUUUUAGUACUAUAUCUCUUGACACAAUGAUGAAAGUAAUCAUGGCCUCUAAACCUUCAAGCUGCAUACGGGACCCUAUUCCAACUAAACUACUGAAAGAGUUGCUUCCUGUGUUUGGCCCUCCUAUGUUGAACAUAAUAAACGUCUCUCUAUCCACCGGAUGUGUAACAAACUCACUAAAAGCGGCAGUAAUUUUUAAUUUAGAUUUAAUUUUACCUUUAUUUUACUAGGCAAGUCAGUUAAGAACAAAUUCUUAUUUUCAAUGACGGCCUAGGAACAGUGGGUUAACUGCCUUGUUCAGGGGCAGAAC